CAUCUUGAGCUCCAAGUCAAAGGGAGAGGCUCAAGUGAUGGAGCUGAAGAGACGAGCGCAGAGUCUAUGUGAGCAAGAAGACCUGCCGGGAGACAAGAAGCUGGAGGUUCAGAAGACGGUCGCAGACACGGAGCAGCAGUGGAAGACGGUGCUGCAGGCUGCUGAGGAGACACAGAGGCAGUUGAAGGGUGUUGUGGAGCGCCUGGUGUCCUGUCAGUACCAGCGAGGCCAGGCUGAGGCCCGUCUGUCUGAGUUCCAGAAGCAGACGUCCGGCCUGCCGCGUGUCUUCCCCUGGCCGGGCCUGGGAGAGCGGAGGCAGACGGUGGAACAGGCCCGCACCCUGCUGGACAAGAGUGCAGCUUUGGCCCCUGUCCUCUCAAACCUCCGUACACAGGCUUCAGAGCUGUUUGAGAUCACACAGGACCGUGACUGGACAGAUCCCUCCUGGGCAGCCAAGGAAGAGUCCAUCCCUGCUCUGCUGAAAGAGCUAACUGAUGCAGUGGGUAACCUGGAGCAGGGCAUCCUGACAGAGAGGCAGUGCACCCAGCUGGUGGAGCAGCAUGUAGCAGCCCAGGAUUGGCUGAGGGAGCAUGUUAAAGGUCUGCGAGCUCCUCCAGUGGACAGACAGGGUCUACACAGCACUGUCAUCACUCUGAAGGUCAGAUA
rnacentral:lncRNA from 1 species